rnacentral:lncRNA from 1 species
GACAUUCCUUCAGGUAAAGGCGAUGGAUGGAAGCAUCAAAAGAUGGUUGUUGGUGUGACAGAAGUCGUUGGCAUCAAAAGAUGGUUGUUGGUGUGACAGAAGUCGUUGGCCAAACAGGAGGAUUGACCAACCAAGAAGAAAUCAUAUAAAAGAUUGUAUAAGAAAAUUAAGAAAAAGAAAUCAUAUAAAACAAUGAUUAAUGAUUGGGAGGAAGCAUUAAAUUAAGGCAACCAAUGCUAGGAGCAUAAUCCAG